UACGGGGGGGGCAAGCGUUGUUCGGAAUUACUGGGCGUAAAGGGCUCGUAGGCGGCCAACUAAGUCAGACGUGAAAUCCCUCGGCUUAACCGGGGAACUGCGUCUGAUACUGGAUGGCUUGAGGUUGGGAGAGGGACGCGGAAUUCCAGGUGUAGCGGUGAAAUGCGUAGAGAUCGGGAGGAAGGCCGGUGGCGAAGGCGGCGCUCUGGAACGUUUCUGACGCUGAGGCUCGAAAGCGUGGGGAGCAAACAGG
rnacentral:rRNA from 1 species